rnacentral:rRNA from 1 species
CAAGUCGCACGAGAAAGGGCUUUGGCCCCGGUAAAGUGGCGCACGGGUGAGUAACACGUGGGUAAUCUGCCCUCGAGCGGGGGAUAACGUUCCGAAAGGGACGCUAAUACCGCAUAAGACCACAAGCCUCGCAAGAGGUGGUAGUCAAAGCUGGCCUCUAUUCAUAAGCUAGCACUUGAGGAUGAGCCCGCGGCCCAUCAUGGUAGUUGGUAGGGUAACGGCCUACCAAGCCGAAGACGGGUAGCUGGUCUGAGAGGAUGAUCAGCCACACUGGAACUGAGACACGGUCCAGACUCCUACGGGAGGCAGCAGUGGGGAAUCUUGCGCAAUGGGCGAAAGCCUGACGCAGCGACGCCGCGUGAGUGAUGAAGGCCUUCGGGUUGUAAAGCUCUGUGGGGAGAGACGAAUAAGUGCGGGCGAGUACUCCGCAUGAUGACGGUAUCUCCUUAGCAAGCACCGGCUAACUCUGUGCCAGCAGCCGCGGUAAGACAGAGGGUGCAAACGUUGUUCGGAAUUACUGGGCGUAAAGCGAGUGUAGGCGGUUUGGAAAGUCGGAUGUGAAAGCCCCAGGCUCAACCUGGGAAGUGCAUUCGAUACUCUCAAGCUAGAGUACUGGAGAGGUUGGUGGAAUUCUCGGUGUAGAGGUGAAAUUCGUAGAU